GACGAACGCUGGCGGCGUGCCUAAUACAUGCAAGUAGAACGCUGAAGGAGGAGCUUGCUUCUCUGGAUGAGUUGCGAACGGGUGAGUAACGCGUAGGUAACCUGCCUGGUAGCGGGGGAUAACUAUUGGAAACGAUAGCUAAUACCGCAUAAUAGCAGUUGUUGCAUGACAACUGUUUGAAAGGUGCAAUUGCACCACUACCAGAUGGACCUGCGUUGUAUUAGCUAGUUGGUGGGGUAACGGCUCACCAAGGCGACGAUACAUAGCCGACCUGAGAGGGUGAUCGGCCACACUGGGACUGAGACACGGCCCAGACUCCUACGGGAGGCAGCAGUAGGGAAUCUUCGGCAAUGGACGGAAGUCUGACCGAGCAACGCCGCGGGAGUGAAGAAGGUUUUCGGAUCGUAAAGCUCUGUUGUAAGAGAAGAACGAGUGUGAGAGUGGAAAGUUCACACUGUGACGGUAGCUUACCAGAAAGGGACGGCUAACUACGUG
rnacentral:rRNA from 1 species